rfam:Lottia gigantea unplaced genomic scaffold LOTGIsca_4, whole genome shotgun sequence.
UCCAGUUAUGGUGAUAUUGUACCUAAAACAAUAACUGGUAAAAUAGUCGGUGGCGUAUGUUCAUUAAGUGGUGUAUUAGUUAUAGCUCUUCCUGUUCCUGUUAUUGUCUCCAAU